rnacentral:misc_RNA from 1 species
CACUAUCGCUUCGAUCCUCCUCUCUGCUGUCACGCUGUGCAUCUUCAUUCAACAGGGAGCCGAAGAAGCGAUAACGUUCGUAGAAGGGCCGCACUGAGAACACCUCCGCUACCCAUCCGAGCACACCCGGCACGCGCUUGAGACGGGACACUUAGCGCGCAUGGGCGUGUAUGUCUUUCCGCGCCUGAUAUCCCCCUCUGCGUGACCGCAUCUCUCUUGUUUGUUUUGAGCGUGAGAGGGAUCUGCAGCGCUGCUGGGAGAACAAGCGGGUGCCCCUUCGGAUCACCAUCGAAUAAACGCCCACUCACCCACCCACCUACACACACACACACACACACACACAAAGAGACUCUCGCGCAGAUCGACGCCGAGUGCUCCGCAGUUUUGCAGGCCAGCCCCUCGUGCACCAACCUUUGAAACCAGCGCUCGUUGCAUCGCCGUGCCCGCUGAGCACUAUUCUGCGCCCCUUUCUCCUGCAGAAGCCGACACGCAACCUCACUGCGUCUUCAAACCGCAGCUCACCAUGUACCGCUGCUCCCGUGUGCGGCUCUCCUCCUUUGGCAGCUGGUCACCUUUUGGACGGCCAGACCGCUUUGGCGAUGCCUCUGGCGCGAAGCCGCGCUUCGGUGAUGGCGGCUCCGCACCGCCUGACUUGUUCCAGAAGACGGCGCUGCACCGUCAGUCGCACUACGCCGUCUCUGCCGGCGGUCGUGGCACUGUAAGCUCGUCUGAAUCGCUCUCCGCGUCCUCCUCGACGACGCGGAGGAAAUCGUACGCGGAAGCGGCCGCUGGGGUGCUUGGGACGGCCAGCAGUGCCGCCCGCCAGAAGGGCGUGCACAUGUACGCUAGCAAGGAGAACGCAUGGGAAGGCUACACGGACGAUCGGUUCUACGGCGCCAAACGCUUUCGCGAGUACUGGCAGCGCAUGCUGGCCGACCGAGGCGUUCGGUACUACAUGUUCACCAUCAUUAUCCUCAUGAUGGCCGCCACGGCGAAGCUCUGGCAGAUGCAGAACCUGCAGCGCGAGGAGAGCGGCUUGCUGGGGCCGCGGAAGAAGCAGUACCGCAGCCGCCUCACCAUCGUUCUCGACGUUGACGAGACCAUCGUCUCCUACGGUGACAAGGCGUUCCGUCUAAAGGCCGGCCUCGUGCCCCGUCCCUACCUGGCGGAGCUGCUCGACUACCUCACCUCUAUCGACGCCGAGGUGGUGCUGUGGUCCGCUUCGAGCGAGCGGUACAUGCGGCAGGUGCUCGGCAUAAUCGACCCCAUGGGGGUGCGCGUGUCGCAGUACCUCUCGCGCGGCAGAGAGUGGUUCACACACGACAACUACUACGAGAAGAACAUCUUGUGGCUGAAGCGGCCGCUGGAGGACACCCUCAUUAUCGAAAACCGUCCGCUCUCAGUGCGCAACUGCAACGGGAACGCCAUCCUCGUGGACGACUUCAUCCGCGGCGAGUACAUGGACACCGGCCAGGACUACCCCGCGAACGACCACGCCCUGCGCACCAUCAAGAGUAUUGUGCAAGACCUCGAGACGAGCGGGAUGUCUGUGCCGGAGUAUCUCGCGAACCACAAAGUGCGCCAUAAAGAGAUCAAGGAGAUCCCGUGCCACCUCGCGAUUCGGCAGCUGCCGGACGAAAUCGCGCGCGGCGUCUUCUACUUUGUGGGCGACAAGUACAAGACCAAGCCCAACGCUGCCUGAUCAUCUGCCGUCUAGGGUUGUUGGGUGAAGUGUACAGCCAAGCAUUGCUCUUCGCAAGGUGCAAGCAGGACCGGGGGUGGCGAAGGAGGUCGCGACACCGAUCUUGUUGGUAUUAAUAGCGGUGCUGACGCGUGAUGAUUGAUGGUGUUUUAUGUUUUCUUCAUGCGCCUCCCAGAAUCCUUGACGGCGCGUACCUGAAC